CAGCCGCCGCGGUAAAACGAAGGGGGCUAGCGUUGUUCGGAUUUACUGGGCGUAAAGGGCGCGUAGGCGGACUGAUAAGUCAGGGGUGAAAUCCCAAGGCUCAACCUUGGAACUGCCUUUGAUACUGUUUGUCUUGAGUUCGAGAGAGGUAGGUGGAACUGCGAGUGUAGAGGCGAAAUUCGUAGAUAUUCGCAAGAACACCAGUGGCGAAGGCGGCUUACUGGCUCGAAACUGACGCUGAGGCGCGAAAGCGUGGGGAGCAAACAGGAUUAGAUACCCGAGUAGUCCCUGUCUCUUAUAC
rnacentral:rRNA from 1 species